GGACUCCUUUUAUCAAAGCCGCUAAGCCGCUCACGUGUGGACACGACAUGGAUGUGCCUGAGAUAAUGUUGAACUCGACCCGUCUAUCGUCCUCUGCCAUCCCCGUCGGGCCGACGGCUCCGGUCCAACCGGCCAGAAUGUUUACACCGGGCGCGAUAAUAUCCGGUUUGAGUAUCUCCGGGGUGAUUGAAUUUGGGCCUCUAGAACUGAACGCUGCGACAACCGGUGACGGUUCGAUGUCUACUUUUGUUCCUCCAAAAAGAAUUUCGGCCGUUGGAUUAGGAUCUGAGAAUAAAUAUUUCUUGAUUACAUCACCGGCUUUUUGACCCACCGCCGCCGCUGGAAGUAAAUGGGCGUCAGCCACUAGUUCCUCCCCAUUUGCUGCGGUGUUAGCCAAAACCAUGCCGGCUCCACCAGCCUCUUUUACC
rnacentral:misc_RNA from 1 species